UACAGAGGUCCCAAGCGUUGUUCGGAUUCAUUGGGCGUAAAGGGUGCGUAGGCGGCGCGGUAAGUCGGGUGUGAAAGCCUUGAGCUCAACUCAAGAAAUGCACUCGGUACUGGAUGACUAGAGGACCGGAGAGGAUAGUGGAAUUCCCAGUGUAGUGGUGAAAUACGUAGAGAUUGGGAAGAACACCAGUGGCGAAGGCGGCUAUCUGGACGGUUUCUGACGCUAAGACGCGAAAGCGUGGGGAGCAAACAGG
rnacentral:rRNA from 1 species